CCUCCUCUCGACGACUCUGUGCAGCCUUGGAUCUUCUGUAGCAAAGCCGGUCACGACGAGCUACUCUCUUCCACUUCCUCAUCUCACGGGCUGCAGGAGGGGAUAAUCUGUCCGUUUAGAUUUGAUCGAGCAGGAUGAGUAAGAGCAAACAAAGGAAUGGACAGUAGCAUCUCUCAUAUCUGCGAAUAAGUUUUAGCUUGCUCAUUCAAAACUUUCAAGUAAUAUCUUAACCUUGUUUCUUUCCCGCUAGAAAUGGAUGAUAUAAAUGCUGAUAACUUGACAGAAGCUGGAGCUUCAUCUAUUUCUGCAUCUUCUAAGAAAACUAGAUUCACUAGUAAUGUUUGGGAGUUUUUGAAAGGGUUCAAGUUAAUGAUCAUGGAACUAUGGUACCAAAAAUAAAUGUGGGGUUUGUAAGACAUUGCUUAGAGGUGGUGCGAGUGCUGGUACUAGUCAUUUAAGAAGGCAUUUACAAAUUCAUGAAAAAGGGCAGAAAAGAUUAGGUGUAGAUAGUUCUGGAAAUAUCAAUAGUUUUGCUUACGAUAAGAAUGUUGCACGUAGAGAACUUGUUGAUUAUGUUAUUAGAGCUGAACUGCCUUUUACUUUUGUUGAAAAACAUGAUUUUAAAGGAAUGAUUCGUCGAGGAUUUUGUCCUCAAUAUGUAGGAAUUUCAGCCUCAACAUGUAAAAGAGAUGUGAUGAAGAAAUUUA